rnacentral:rRNA from 1 species
AUUGAACGCUGGCGGCAUGCCUUACACAUGCAAGUCGAACGGUGACAGGUCUUCGGAUGCUGACGAGGGCGAACGGGUGAGUAAUACAUCGGAACGUGCCCGAUCGUGGGGGAUAACGAAGCGAAAGCUUUGCUAAUACCGCAUACGAUCUACGGAUGAAAGCAGGGGACCGCAAGGCCUUGCGCGAACGGAGCGGCCGAUGGCAGAUUAGGUAGUUGGUGGGAUAAAAGCUUACCAAGCCGACGAUCUGUAGCUGGUCUGAGAGGACGACCAGCCACACUGGGACUGAGACACGGCCCAGACUCCUACGGGAGGCAGCAGUGGGGAAUUUUGGACAAUGGGCGAAAGCCUGAUCCAGCCAUGCCGCGUGCAGGAUGAAGGCCUUCGGGUUGUAAACUGCUUUUGUACGGAACGAAAAGACUCUGGUUAAUACCUGGGGUCCAUGACGGUACCGUAAGAAUAAGCACCGGCUAACUACGUG